ACGCUCGACACCUACGGAGGCAGCAGUUGGGAAUAUUGGACAAUGGAGGAAACUCUGAUCCAGUGACGCCGCGUGAAGGAAGAAGGUCUUCGGAUUGUAAACUUAUUUUGUCAGGGAAGAAAAAUGACUGUACCUGAAGAAAAAGCACCGGCUAACUACGUGCCGGCAGCCGCGGUAAUCUGAGCGGGCUGGCAAGGC
rnacentral:rRNA from 1 species